UGAACGCUGGCGGCGUGCCUAACACAUGCAAGUCGAACGGAGUAUAUCGCUGCAGAGAUUUCGGUCGAAGCUUGAGUAUACUUAGUGGCGGACGGGUGAGUAACGCGUGGGCAACCUGCCUCAUACUGGGGGAUAGCAGUUGGAAACGACUGAUAAUACCGCAUAAGCGCACGGUGUCGCAUGACACAGUGUGAAAAACUCCGGUGGUAUGAGAUGGGCCCGCGUCAGAUUAGCCAGUUGGCAGGGUAACGGCCUACCAAAGCGACGAUCUGUAGCCGGCCUGAGAGGGCGGACGGCCACAUUGGGACAGAGACACGGCCCAAACUCCUACGGGAGGCAGCAGUGGGGGAUAUUGCACAAUGGAGGAAACUCUGAUGCAGCGACGCCGCGUGAGUGAAGAAGUAUUUCGGUAUGUAAAGCUCUAUCAGCAGGGAAGAAAGGCUCGUAAGAGAGAUGACGGUACCUGACUAAGAAGCCCCGGCUAACUACGUGCCAGCCGCCGC
rnacentral:rRNA from 1 species